UCCUCGUCAGUUAGCCAUUAGCGGAACACCGGCCCUGGUGGAUCUCACCAAAACCCUAUCGGAACGUGGCGUAAAAACUAACCGCGUGUGUCCGGAAACGGAGUCCAGAUCGGUGGUGACUGAGUACGCCAUCAGCGUGCUCCGAAAAACCCAACAUUCGAACGCGUCCCAAGAUUUCACUUCCUAAUAUCAAAGCACAAAAUAUAAAAAAAACUAAGGUUUAUGUACAUGCAGGAAUUAGCUUGAUUUGUGUAGGUCUGCUUCAGUUGGUGGCAUAAUGGCCUACGAGAUUAGUGAGCUGAAAAAGGUUGGCAUAGGUCUGAUAGGCUUUGGCAUCCUGUUCUCAUUUCUGGGCGUUAUUCUCUUCUUUGACAGGGGCUUGCUGGCUCUGGGUAAUUUAUUUUGCUUGUCUGGUGUUGGUGUUCUACUUGGUUGGCAAUCUACAUGGCAACUUUUUACAAAGAAAACGUAUUAUAAGGGUUCUAUACCUUUUUUUCUUGGGCUCUUUCUCAUAUUUGUCCGUUGGCCUAUAACCGGUAUCAUCUUGGAAAUAUAUGGCUCAAUUGUUCUAUUCAGUGGCUUUGGGCCUUCUAUCAAGGUUUUUCUUUCUCAUAUACCAGUGGUGGGAUGGCUUCUGCAAUACCCUUUUCUGUUCUUCAAUCGCUUGAGGCAGAUGCUUGGUUGAAGAUAUACUGAUCUUGAAAGUGGGAUCUUGACCGGAGCAGUGGUUCUCAAUAGACGCUCUUGCAGAUCUAGUUUACAAGAUUCACAAUGUCAUGCAGCCAUGUCAACACCACUUUUGUUCAAUUAAAUCAAGUGAAUUGUUGCUCAGAUCACUGCAUGGCGAUGGAUGUGGCACUUACAGAUGUGUCAUGACUCAUGAUAUCUUUUCUAGCUUUUGUUAUUGAUCUCGGUUGACCUUGAUACCUUGCUGUCUUUGUAGCACAAGACUUUUAGCCUUCUGACAUACUAUAUGUGAUUGCCUUUUGUACUUGUUAUGUAGUAUGAGAACCUUUUGGAAGGAAUGCCUCUGUAGUUCUCUUUCAGUAAUUCACUAGUUCUUAACUUGUUCUUUGUUCAAUUUUUCUGCUAGUCAUGACAUUCAUUUUGGAGCAAAACCACAAUGUCCCCCAUGUAAUUGGUUUUGAUCAAAAUAUGAAAUUUCUUUCAUUGGGUCCAACAGUUCUGGGGCCUUAUGAAAGUGUGUUA